rnacentral:miRNA from 1 species
GUUUGAUUUAAGGUUAAAG